CGGGUGAGUAACACGUGGAUAACCUACCUAUAAGACUGGGAUAACUUCGGGAAACCGGAGCUAAUACCGGAUAAUAUUUUGAACCGCAUGGUUCAAAAGUGAAAGACGGUCUUGCUGUCACUUAUAGAUGGAUCCGCGCUGCAUUAGCUAGUUGGUAAGGUAACGGCUUACCAAGGCAACAAUGCAUAGCCGACCUGAGAGGGUGAUCGGCCACACUGGAACUGAGACACGGUCCAGACUCCUACGGGAGGCAGCAGUA
rnacentral:rRNA from 1 species